GGAGAAGAGAGAGAGAAGAGAGAAGGGCGAUAAUACUAUAGUAAUGGAGAAUGGAGGAGGAGGAGGAGAAGAUCCACAAUUAGAACCACCACCACAGCCGCAGCGACGGUUGAAGCCGAUCCCACCGAAUCCACCGCCAACAGAUCGGCCGGCUCGUAUUUACGCCGACGGAAUCUACGAUCUCUUUCACUUCGGACAUGCUCGCGCCCUCGAACAAGCUAAGAAACUAUUGCCUAACGCUCAGCUUCUUGUUGGAUGCUGCAAUGAUGAAAUCACUCAC
rnacentral:misc_RNA from 1 species